CCCUUGAGUCUGCCUAAUCCGGAGCUAUCCGGAGCGGAGGAACCAAAUUUUGGGGCUAACUGCGGUCUACCGCGGGGGAAAUCUCUCAUUCCCAGUCCGUCAGCUAACUUCGCAGGCAUAGAGAGAAGACAG
rnacentral:sRNA from 2 species